UGGGGAAUAUUGGACAAUGGGUGAAAGCCUGAUCCAGCCAUGCCGCGUGUGUGAAGAAGGCCUUUUGGUUGUAAAGCACUUUAAGUGGGGAGGAAAAGCUUAUGGUUAAUACCCAUAAGCCCUGACGUUACCCACAGAAUAAGCACCGGCUAACUCUGUGCCAGCAGCCGCGGUAAUACAGAGGGUGCAAGCGUUAAUCGGAAUUACUGGGCGUAAAGCGCGCGUAGGUGGUUAUUUAAGUCAGAUGUGAAAGCCCCGGGCUUAACCUGGGAACUGCAUCUGAUACUGGAUAACUAGAGUAGGUGAGAGGGGAGUAGAAUUCCAGGUGUAGCGGUGAAAUGCGUAGAGAUCUGGAGGAAUACCGAUGGCGAAGGCAGCUCCCUGGCAUCAUACUGACACUGAGGUGCGAAAGCGUGGGUAGCAAACAGGAUUAGAUACCCUGGUAGUCCACGCCGUAAACGAUGUCUACCAGUCGUUGGGUCUUUUAAAGACUUAGUGACGCAGUUAACGCAAUAAGUAGACCGCCUGGGGAGUACGGCCGCAAGGUUA
rnacentral:rRNA from 1 species